UACGGAGGAUGCGAGCGUUAUCCGGAUUUAUUGGGUUUAAAGGGUGCGUAGGCGGGCUGUUAAGUCAGCGGUAAAAGCCCGGGGCUCAACCCCGGCGAGCCGUUGAAACUGGCUGUCUUGAGAUGUCGAGAGGUAUGCGGAAUGCGCAGUGUAGCGGUGAAAUGCUUAGAUAUUGCGCAGAACUCCGAUUGCGAAGGCAGCAUACCGGCGGCGAUCUGACGCUGAGGCACGAAAGCGUGGGUAUUGAACAGG
rnacentral:rRNA from 1 species